CCCCGGAUCGGCCUCUUCUCCCAGAAUCUCACCAUGCCUCUAGUUAGUCCCUGAGGAAAUAGGAGCAGACUCCAGAUCACAUCACACACAGAGGAAGAUGUUAGCCACAUCUAUGGCUAUAACCCUUCAGCUUGGGUCACUGAAGACUGAGGAUCUAACUCACAAACGGAUACUCUAACGAUCCAGAGCUCAGGAUGACCAGUGAUCUCUACCAUCACAUGCUUUGCCGUCUCCAGAAUGCUGAUUGAGAGAAGCAUACAAUAUGCUACGAGGAGCAGAUUGAAUCCUGAGUGAACGUGUGUUGUUGGCAGGAAUACAGCUAUGCCUCAGACCUUCAGAAAUGGCAAAACCCUCCUCUGGCUCAAGUACCAGUAUUGAGGAAAGAUUAACCUUUAUUUAAAACCAUUGUGUGAAAAGCUUUCCUUGGGGGUAUGUCCAGAUGUUGAGCAGGGUGUCUUGAAAAGCACCAAGCCCAGCUUCCUACUUCCUUGUAGAGUCCUCCCAAUGAGACCGGUUGACCCACCUCCUUGUGCAGCAUAGAAUAAAGGGACCAGGCUUCUGUAUUGUAUCUUCCAUCAGGUAAAGAACAGCUUAUCCACAUAGUGCACGCCUUUAAUCCCAGCACUCCGGA
rnacentral:lncRNA from 1 species